CAGCCAUCUGAGUUUUAAGCCUCUUCAGCAUCUUUAAGUCAGGCGGCACACGCCACAUCGCCUGGUGUCUCCGCAGGUCUCGAUCUUUCAGGGAGUAUGAUGAUGCUUUACCAAAGGGAGAAGUUGAAGAACACAAGAGUGUUACUAGUUGCUGUUGAACUAGCUGAAGAGCUGCUGCCAUCCAGGUGGUUCACCUCAUCUUCUCCAGCAAGAUCUACAUCCAAAUCACCAUCAGAGAGUUCAUGCUGCAGAACAAUGAGACACUUUUCACUCAAGCCUCACUGCUUUUGCCAAAAGCUACAAACAGAAACCCUCUUCCCAUGGAGGUGUCACACUGCCACACAGAAGUUAUGAGAGCCUGAAAGCGCAGUAAGAGCUGGUAACAAACAGGUUACACUUCUAAGCUGCAAUGGGGAAACCUUCUUACAGCGGGAUCAAGUAGCUAUGCUCCAGAACAUCUCCCUGAGACAACUCUUGCUACUCGUCAAACCUGGUAUCUCCUAUCUCCACAAAAAGAUUAAGUCUAAUUUACAGUUCAAAACUUCACAAAUGUUUCUACCGCUAACCUACUACAAGAGAACCUACACAAGAGAAGGCAAGAUAAAGACAGUUCCUACAUUGAAGUCUUCAUGCUGAAUCUUCUCUUCAUCCUCUUCCUUGUUUUCUCGCACCAACCCUGGAGCAGCAACAUUCUCAAGCAGUGCUUCAGUGCUUGGUCCAGGUUUUUUUGAUCUUGUUUCUGGUCCAUCAUCAUUCUGGGGACUGAGGUGAGUGUCUGGAGGUGAAAUGCCUCGUGACUUCUGAGUCCGGGAAAGUUCAAUCGCGAGCCUCUUAAAUAUUAGAGAGAUACAUGAAAAUACACAUAGAAGAUAACCAUGGAGCAGCAUCAUUGAACACGAGCAUCCUCUUUGUUGACUUGCAUAUAUAUUAUUUUAAAUGCCAUCACCACAGUACGUGUAGCUACCCAAGUAAACAAAAAUGCCAAAUAUGAGCUUCGUAACCUAAAACAGUUAACUACUAGGUAAUAAAAGGUAGUUUUAUAUCAAUAUACAUCAAA